CAUGUUAGAUUGAAGCUUUGUUUACAGCCGUCGCUUUGUGUCGCCAUUUGACGCAUUGUUGUACUGGGUUAUCCCGGUGUGUGAUGUAGUCAGUAUGGAUGAUCGGCGAUAGGUUUGAAGUGAUUCGCUCCGGAAACAGCGUCAGACGGGGAGUUUGACUGGGGCGGUACAUCUGUUAAACGAUAAUGCAGGUGUCCUAAGGUAAGCUCAGCGGGGACAGAAACCUCGCUUAGAGUAAACGGGCACAAGCUUACUUGAUUUUGAUUUCCAGUACGAAUAGAAACCGCGAAAGCGUGGCCUAUCGAUCCUUUUGAUUGUGUAGAUUUCAUGCAAGAGGUAUCAGAAAAGUUACCACAGGGAUAACUGGCUUGUGGCAGUCAAGCGUCCAUAGCGACGUUGCUUUUUCAUCCUUCGAUGUCGGCUCUUCCUAUCAUUGCGAAGCAGAAUUCGCCAAGCGUUGG
rnacentral:ncRNA from 1 species